UAUCCCUACGGGAGGCAGCAGUGAGGAAUAUUGGUCAAUGGUCGGGAGACUGAACCAGCCAAGCCGCGUGAGGGAUGAAGGUACAGAGUAUCGUAAACCUCUUUUGUCAGGGAACAAAGGCGGGGACGCGUCCCCGGAUGAGUGUACCUGAAGAAAAAGCAUCGGCUAACUCCGUGCCAGCAGCCGCGGUAAUACGUAGGUGGCAAGCGUUGUCCGGAUUUAUUGGGCGUAAAGCGAGUGCAGGCGGGUCAAUAAAUCUGAUGUGAAAGCCUUCGGCUCAAACGGGGAAUUGCAUCAGAAA
rnacentral:rRNA from 1 species